rnacentral:rRNA from 1 species
GACGAACGCUGGCGGCGUGCUUAACACAUGCAAGUCGAACGGUGAAGGGACCAGCUUGCUGGUUCUGGAUGAGUGGCGAACGGGUGAGUAACACGUGAGUAACCUGCCCCCUUCUUCUGGAUAACCGCAUGAAAGUGUGGCUAAUACGGGAUAUUCUGGGUCUGUCGCAUGGCGGGCCCGGGAAAGAUAUUGCUUCGGUGGGGGAUGGGCUCGCGGGCUAUCAGCUUGUUGGUGGGGUGAUGGCCUACCAAGGCGGUGACGGGUAGCCGGCCUGAGAGGGUGGACGGUCACACUGGGACUGAGACACGGCCCAGACUCCUACGGGAGGCAGCAGUGGGGAAUAUUGCACAAUGGGCGCAAGCCUGAUGCAGCGACGCCGCGUGAGGGAUGGAGGCCUUCGGGUUGUAAACCUCUUUCGCCAUUGAAGCAGGCCUGCUCCUUGUGGGUGGGUUGACGGUAGCUGGAUAAGAAGCGCCGGCUAACUACGUG